CAGCCGCCGCGGUAAUACGGAGGGUGCAAGCGUUAAUCGGAAUUACUGGGCGUAAAGCGCACGCAGGCGGUCUGACAAGUCAGAUGUGAAAUCCCCGGGCUUAACCUGGGAACUGCAUUUGAAACUGUCAGGCUGGAGUCUUGUAGAGGGGGGUGGAAUUCCAGGUGUAGCGGUGAAAUGCGUAGAGAUCUGGAGGAAUACCGGUGGCGAAGGCGGCCCCCUGGACAAAGACUGACGCUCAGGUGCGAAAGCGUGGGAAGCAAACAGGAUUAGAUACCCCUGUAGUCCCUGUCUCUUAUAC
rnacentral:rRNA from 1 species